ACAUGUAGAGAAGUACUGAGUGGAUGGAUUUCUUUAUUAUCGUGUACUAGUUUGAGCGGAUUAGAAGUUCAGCUAAAAACAUAAAUGUGUAUUUGCAUAGAUGGUGAAAGUAACUUUAGCUGCAGUGCGUCAUACGAAGCAAGAUAUCACCACCCGUGCAGCAGACGGAGGCCGAACGUCCAGAACUAACUCACACUUAUACAAUGCGCCAUAAAGAUUUAUCGUGCGAGCGGGAUUUAAACGCACAACAACAGUGGACGGGCGUCCUAAUGGGUCCCGAUAGCGAUAAGUCAUUCAGACACAGCGGUUGUUAUUCGGAAAGUAGAACACGGGCAACAACAGUAAUUGUGUCGCUCGUAAACAGAAGUGAACAGUCAUCGCAGUGAUACGGGGAGAGGUGCAGACAGCCUGAGCGAGUCGGGGCGAGCCUCUCUGCUUCCAGGAGAAACGGGGAAGUACCGAGGAAACUGCAGUCAGGUGAUCUGCUGACGAAUGAGGCGAAGCCGAGUGUUACGGACUGAGAGAAAGGAGGCUGUUGACGUUCCUACGAGGAGAAAGGGGGCCCGAAGGUACGCGGACGUUAAUCCAUAACGUCAUUGAAAUCUGCUAUAAACGUACCAUAUGCAAGCACAUGUCCUGUAUAUGAGAUAAUAAAUACCUGUGGGUACAGACAUUUUAUAAUCCGGCUAUGUUGGAUCGAACAUAAUGGAGCAAGUUGCAAAAAGGAUCACAUGUGCCAUUAAUAAGACUUUUUAGCCAAAUGGUUUGACUGAAUUAAAAGAAAGAAUAUAUCCCAUGCAAGGAGGAAUACAAAAGUAUAAUAAGCUAAAUAGGUAUUAAAAGAAAAAGCACAUCUCCCCUGUAACUGAUACAUGUGUCACGGAUGGAUCUGGUUUUUACUGCCACAUUUGUUUUAUUCCAUUUCAACGUCGGAUGAUUCAUGAGGGGGGAGAAAUACGGAGUGGUUUCUCUGGGCUUUCCUAUAAUUCUUUAGUUCUUCCUUUUUGAAUCUUAGACAAUCUUGGAUCUUCAGGUCGGAAACUUUUCUUUGAAUCACACCAUGUGAGUGGCGUAACUCUGAAGUUUACCAGGCUUCUGAACGAACCAGAUACAAGCCAAAAAAAGGAUGGAUUUAUUGAAUCUGUUUUGUAUUGAUUUGAUCUGUUAAAUAGUUACAUAAUCCCUUAUACAAAAUAGCGUUAGGUGCUUUGUCUUUUGUUUUAUCGGGUUCAUGCUGAGUUGGAUCAGUCAGAAAACUGGUUUUAUUCAAAUUUAUUAAGCACACAUCAAACAUGCUUUUUUAAACUUUUUUAGGUUGAAGUUUUGCCGCCGUUUUGCCGUCAAUGUAGAAGUGUGAAUAUUUUUGUACUUUCUUUGAGGAUGUUUCCUCAUACUGAUGUGAAUUGUUUAGAUCUUUGAGAUAUAUGCUUAUUCACUUGCCAGCAUCAGCGAUCAGCCGGGUGAGUCGAAACACUGGUUCAAUCUUAAACAAGUGUGACUUUUGAUAAUUUAUAAUGCACUUUGUAUGUAAAACAUACAUAAGCAAUGUAAUUGAUAGAUAGAUAGAUACUCAGAUCUUUAUCAGAUUUCCAUAAAGCUGAGGAAAACACCCAAUCUUUCUGAUCACCUGUGAAUAUAG
ensembl:lncRNA